rnacentral:misc_RNA from 1 species
CUUUGUACACACCGCCCGUCGCUACUACCGAUUGAAUGGCUUAGUGAGGCCUCCGGAUUGGUUUAGGAAAGGGGGCAACCUCAUUCUGGAACCGAGAAGCUGGUCAAACUUGGUCAUUUAGAGGAAGUAAAAGUCGU